rnacentral:lncRNA from 1 species
GGCUCAGCUCCACAAGACUACCCCCUUCACAUGCCAGCAGCAAAUAUGGGGCCCAAGUUACCCACAUUUCUGCCCAGCUGACUACAAAUUCUGGUUUCCAUGACCCCCUCUCAGGUUUGAUAGUUUGCUAGAACAACUCACAAAGUGAAGGAAAAUGGUGUACUUACUAUUACUGGCUUAUUAUAAAGGCUACAACUCAGAAACAGCCAAACGGAGGAGAUGCACAGAGCAAGGUGACCAGUCCGCAUCCUGAUACUAUCUCGGAGUCCCCCAGCCAAGAAUCAUCUCAUCAGCAUAAACUCAGGCAAUGUUGAAAGGCAUUCAGAAUGGUACUGGCCAUGUAACAUCCUCAGGAAAAUGGAGAAAGGAGUCACAUCAUCUUCUGUGUUUGGAGACUGCUAUGUAAGCCAGAAUACUAGUCACACAGUGCAGGUGGGAGCGGCCGGGAAGUAACCUCCUUUUUUUUUAAGACUAAUACAUUUAUGGUAUACACCUGAAUUUGUGUUGCGGAAAUCUGAUACCCAUUGCACACAUUCUGUAUCAUGUUUAAAAUAAUUUCAACUUUUAUUUUAGAUUCAAGGGGUACACUUGCAGUUUUGUUACACGGGUUUAUUGCGUGAUGCUGAGGUUUGGGGUACAAUUGAUCGCAUCACCUUCCAGGUGUCAGCAUGUAAAAGGGAAGAUCCAAAUGACCAAUCAGGAGAUUACUGGGGGACCACAAAGUUGGGGCUCAGGUCAGCUGACCAGGUGAGACCCUGUCUCCACCAUGGGCAACAGCUCCCCUUUCCUCAGGCCCCCUGACCUUUCAGACACAACAGAUGCUGCAGUCUUCACAGGGACCUGGGGAGCCCCAGCAACUCAAUCACAUUGCUCGGUGACCCCAAAAGGCUGAUCACAUUAGCAACAGGCUUAUUUUUCGUCAUUUCAUUAUCAAAGGAUGAAGUACAGGUUCACAAAGGUUAAAUAACUUGCCCAGGCCGAGCAUGGUGGCUCAUGCCUGUAAUCCCAGCACUUUGGGAGGCUGAGGUGGGCGGAUCACCUGAGGUCGGCAGAUCACCUGAG